GACGAACCGUGCGAACGUUAUUCGGAAUCACUGGGCUUAAAGGGCGCGUAGGCGGGCUGACAAGUCAGGGGUGAAAUCCCACGGCUCAACCGUGGAAGUGCCUUUGAUACUGCCAGUCUGGAGGGAGGUAGGGGCGUGCGGAGCUUCCGGUGGAGCGGUGAAAUGCGUAGAUAUCGGAAGGAACACCGGUGGCGAAAGCGGCGCGCUGGACCUCU
rnacentral:rRNA from 1 species